AGAGUUUGAUCAUGGCUCAGAACGAACGCUGGCGGCAGGCCUAACACAUGCAAGUCGAACGCCGUAGCAAUACGGAGUGGCAGACGGGUGAGGAACACGUGGGAACAUACCCUUUGGUUCGGAAUAACACAGAGAAAUUUGUGCUAAUACCGGAUAAGUCGGCAACGAGAAAGAUUCAUCGCCGAAGGAUUGGCCCGCGUCCGAUUAGCUAGUUGGUGUGGUAAUGGCGCACCAAGGCGACGAUCGGUAGCUGGUCUGAGAGGAUGAUCAGCCACAUUGGGACUGAGACACGGCCCAAACUCCUACGGGAGGCAGCAGAGGGGAAUAUUGGACAAUGGGCGCAAGCCUGAUCCAGCCAUGCCGCGUGAGUGAUGACGGCCCUAGGGUUGUAAAGCUCUUUCACCCACGACGAUAAUGACGGUAGUGGGAGAAGAAGCCCCGGCUAACUUCGUGCCAGCAGCCGCGGUAAUACGAAGGGGGCUAGCGUUGUUCGGAUUUACUGGGCGUAAAGCGCACGUAGGCGGAUCUUUAAGUCAGGGGUGAAAUGCCAAGGCUCAACCUUGGAACUGCCUCUGAUACUGGAGAUCUUGAGUUCGGGAGAGGUGAGUGGAACUGCGAGUGUAGAGGUGAAAUUCGUAGAUAUUCGCAAGAACACCAGUGCGAAGGCGGCUCACUGGCCCGAUACUGACGCUGAGGUGCGAAAGCGUGGGGAGCAAACUGGAUUAGAUACCCUGGUAGUCCACGCCGUAAACGAUGGAUGCUAGCCGUUAGGCAGCUUGCUGCUUAGUGGCGCAGCUAACGCUUUAAGCAUCCCGC
rnacentral:rRNA from 1 species